rnacentral:rRNA from 1 species
UAACGCGUAGGUAACCUGCCUUGUAGCGGGGGAUAACUAUUGGAAACGAUAGCUAAUACCGCAUAACAAUGGGUGACUCAUGUCAUUUAUUUGAAAGGGGCAAAUGCUCCACUACAAGAUGGACCUGCGUUGUAUUAGCUAGUAGGUGAGGUAACGGCUCACCUAGGCGACGAUACAUAGCCGACCUGAGCGGGUGAUCGGCCACACUGGGACUGAGACACGGCCCAG